UACAGGGGGCUCGAGCGUUAGUCGGAAUCACUGGCUUAAAGGGUGCGUAGGCGGUCCGCCAAGUGCUUUGUGAAAUCCCCGAGCUCAACUCGGGAACUGCAGGGCAAACUGGAGGACUUGAAGCAGGUAGGGGCUGGAAGAACAGUAGGUGGAGCGGUGAAAUGCGUAGAUAUCUACUGGAAUGCCGAGUGGGGAAGCCGUCCGAACCUGGGCCUGGUCUUGACGCUGAGGCACGAAAGCGUGGGGAGCAAACAGG
rnacentral:rRNA from 1 species